CCCUACGGGAGGCUGCAGUAGGGAAUAUUGGGCAAUGGGCGAAAGCCUGACCCAGCAACGCCGCGUGCACGAUGAAGGCCUUCGGGUCGUAAAGUGCUUUUCUGAGGGAUGAGUAAGGACAGUACCUCAGGAAUAAGCCUCGGCUAACUACGUGCCAGCAGCCGCGGUAAAACGUAGGAGGCGAGCGUUAUCCGGAUUUACUGGGCGUAAAGCGUGUGUAGGCGGUUCGGCAAGUUGGAUGUGAAAGCUCCUGGCUUAACUAGGAGAGGUCGUUCAAUACUACCGAACUUGAGGGCAUCAGAGGAGAGUGGAAUUCCCGGUGUAGUGGUGAAAUGCGUAGAUAUCGGGAGGAACACCAGUGGCGAAAGCGGCUCUCUGGGAUGAUCCUGACGCUCAGACACGAAAGCUAGGGUAGCGAACGGGAUUAGAUACCCCAGUAGUC
rnacentral:rRNA from 1 species